GUAGGUGGCAAGCGUUAUCCGGAAUUAUUGGGCGUAAAGCGCGCGUAGGCGGUUUUUUAAGUCUGAUGUGAAAGCCCACGGCUCAACCGUGGAGGGUCAUUGGAAACUGGAAAACUUGAGUGCAGAAGAGGAAAGUGGAAUUCCAUGUGUAGCGGUGAAAUGCGCAGAGAUAUGGAGGAACACCAGUGGCGAAGGCGACUUUCUGGUCUGUAACUGACGCUGAUGUGCGAAAGCGUGGGGAUCAAACAGGAUUAGAUACCCUGGUAGUCCACGCCGUAAACGAUGAGUGCUAAGUGUUAGGGGGUUUCCGCCCCUUAGUGCUGCAGCUAACGCAUUAAGCACUCCGCCUGGGGAGUACGACCGCAAGGUUGAA
rnacentral:rRNA from 1 species